UGAGGUGAGGAAAGCUAGCUAUUCACUGUUGGCACUCUUCUUGUAGACUCUUGUUAUGCACACUCAACUUCUGCUCAUACAAGAGUUCAUCGACGGCUGUGAACAUUGCCUAGGCUUUUUCAGUGGCAUUUUGAUCGGGUUCACCAUAUCCCCAGGAGAAGUCCGAGCUGCCUUCAGUAGAUAUCCCUGCGCCUGUAUAACUUGGAAAAGCAGAGAGUGAAUUCCCAGCGUCGGCUGAUGUAAAAGGUAACAAGCAUGAACGUGAGGACUGAUCCAAAGGGGCCACACAGAGGCUGCCAGUGGAUUAUGAUCCCCGAAGCAGAAGCUCCUGAAAGAGAUAUGAAUGUUGAAUUUUUGCAGCUGCCCCUUCGCCUUUUUGGUCCUAUUUUCACUUGCCACAGUGCUUUUGAGAGUGAUCAGUGUUGCAUGGAUCGGCCAUUGCUUCCUCUUUACUACCUAACAGUAUCCUAUUGCUGAUGGAAUCUCACUCUGUUGCCCAGGCUGGAGUGCAGU